rnacentral:tRNA from 1 species
GGGGAUUUAGCUUAGUGGUAGAGCGCUUGCCUAGCAAGCGAAAUGCCCUGGGUUCAGUCCCUA